rnacentral:rRNA from 1 species
UAGGGAAUCUUCGGCAAUGGGGGGAACCCUGACCGAGCAACGCCGCGUGAGUGAAGAAGGUUUUCGGAUCGUAAAGCUCUGUUGUUAAGGAAGAACGAGUGUGAGAAUGGAAAGUUCAUGCUGUGACGGUACCUAACAAGAAAGGGACGGCUAACUACGUGCCAGCAGCCGCGGGAAUACGUAGGUCCCGAGGGUUGUCCGGAUUUAUUGGGCGUAAAGCGAGCGCAGGCGGUUCGAUAAGUCUGAAGUUAAAGGCAGUGGCUCAACCAUUGUAGGCUUUGGAAACUGUUUAACUUGAGUGCAGAAGGGGAGAGUGGAAUUCCAUGUGUAGCGGUGAAAUGCGUAGAUAUAUGGAGGAACACCGGUGGCGAAAGCGGCUCUCUGGUCUGUAACUGACGCUGAGGCUCGAAAGCGUGGGGAGCGAACAGG